CCCUUAGAGUUUGAUCCUGGCUCAGGACGAACGCUGGCGGCGUGCUUAACACAUGCAAGUCGAACGAAGAGCGAUGGAAGCUUGCUUCUAUCAAUCUUAGUGGCGAACGGGUGAGUAACGCGUAAUCAACCUGCCCUUCAGAGGGGGACAACAGUUGGAAACGACUGCUAAUACCGCAUACGAUCCAAUCUCGACAUCGAGACUGGAUGAAAGGUGGCCUCUAUUUAUAAGCUAUCACUGAAGGAGGGGAUUGCGUCUGAUUAGCUAGUUGGAGGGGUAACGGCCCACCAAGGCGAUGAUCAGUAGCCGGUCUGAGAGGAUGAACGGCCACAUUGGGACUGAGACACGGCCCAGACUCCUACGGGAGGCAGCAGUGGGGAAUCUUCCGCAAUGGACGAAAGUCUGACGGAGCAACGCCGCGUGAGUGAUGACGGCCUUCGGGUUGUAAAGCUCUGUUAAUCGGGACGAAUGGUUCUUGUGCAAAUAGUGCAAGGA
rnacentral:rRNA from 1 species